ensembl:lncRNA
GCGUUCGCGCACAGCCUUCCUGCGCACCGAUUGGCUGCCAGCGUGCAAGAUGGCGGCACAAAAACUUCCGGCCCGGGCGGAAGUGCGGUCCAAGAUGGCGGCGUUCGCNNNNNNNNNNNNNNNNNNNNUGCAGGGCUCCUCUCCGAGCUGGACGGUGAGCACGGGGAGCUGGCUGGAGAGCCCUGGUAUGCCCAGCAAGAGAUUCCCAGUUUCCACACUCCUUGCCCUGCUCUGAUGGUGCCCAGCAGCUCCAUGUCCCUGCCUGGCUCCUGUGGCCCAGCUGUGUUGGGAGAUCCCUUUCAGGGGUUAUCCAGGACUCACAUGGAGGCUGUGACCCGUGGAGCUGCUUUGGGCAGUGAAGUGACCCAGAAUGAACAAAGUGUGGGGCUGGGCUGUGGCUGCACAGGGACAGCUGGGGAGGGCUAAGGUGGUUUGGGAUGUGCAGUGCAGGCUCUGGAUGAGACAUAUCCCCUUCCCCUGGGACCAUCUGCGUGUUGGGCCGGGGGUUAUUUAUUUAAACUUGUCUGAUCAUUAUUUAUACUGUUCAAUUCCUGGUUUGCUGUAAGACAUUAAAGCCUUUUUAUUAUUUUUUCAGUGGCUACUUUCUUACCUCCUGGCAGCAUGAAGUGCCAGAAUGAGCCGCAGAAGUGCCCAGACUGAGGCACAGUCCAUGCCCAGGGGCAGGACGCGGCGGUGUCGGGCGAUGUGCUGCGUGUUUUGGGAAGGAGUUUCGGAAGGGGUGAGAGCCUUUGAGGGGGCUGUGGGUGUCCUGGGUGGGUGUGGGGGUCGCGACAGAGCUGCUUCCGGGCUUGGGGGCGUGUUGAGGGAGAGUUGGGUCUUUCACUGGACACCUGAGGGUCCCUGGGGCUUCGGGGUGGUCCUGGCAGGGAGCUGGUGCGCAGAUGGCUGCUCCAAACUAGCGAGGGUCCCCUUAUGGGGGGCCUCAACCACCGCCCUGACCCCCCGGUCCGAGGGUGCAGGACAGCGGGCUCCAGGUCGCUGAGGUUCCCUGUGCUGGAGGGGAUCCGAGAAAUCGCCACCAGAGCGGAGGGAAGAGACAAAAGUGCCCCGAGUGCAGAGACAGCCCAGGGUGGGAGCAGGGAGCUGGCUUGGGGAGUGAGUGUCGUGGCUUGGUUUGGGGUUAGGGGUGGAAAAAGAUGUUUGUUGGCCUGACUGCGCAGUCCCCCCUCGCCAGGAUGUGUGUGUGCUCUUCCCAGGUAUUGUGCAACCUGGGGUAGCUGUUUUUUUCCUCUUUCUCAUCCUCCCUCCUCCACGGAGCUCUUGUGUUUUCAUCCUGUUGCUGUCAGGGGUGGGGAUGCACAGGGUGAGUCACCCAGGGUUAGCUGUGUUUGUUUUCCUGGGCUGGCAAAGCUGACGCUUCAGAGCCAGGUUUCAUCUCUUCACUGAAGCGAAGGGAUUUUUCCCCGUAUCAUUUUGGCAUGAGACCCUCUGAACUCUCACCCUUUCAGCCACUCAUGCUCCUGUUGUGUGCUCGAGAGCUUCCAAACUCAGCACUGAGGGUGCUGGUGAGACUGUGCAUAAGAGGAGAGCAGAGGGGCAGAGUCCUCCCCAGCCUGUUUGUACACACAGGGUGGGGUUGUUGCUGUCCAAGCCCCCUUUGACAUCGCUUUGCCUCGGCUGGUUUUGUUCUGAUCCCCUCUGACACAACAAAGGGGAUUAUUCUGCCAUGUUCAGCUGUUUGGCCAGAGCCCAGCACGGGGCUGAGUGUCACUGCCCUGCACUCCACACACACAACACAGCCCCCACUGCACUUUUCCCUCUUCCCACACCUCAUCCUGUGCCGUGGAUCCAGUGUCUGGAUUUUCUUUUACAUGAACUGAGGAAGCAAGAAGCGUUGAGGGAGUUGUUGUGUUGAGUCUUGAUCUGGAAGUUUGCUCCCAGGGCCUGGAAACAGCUGAAAGCUGAAUCAGUCCCUGGGAAGUUGUGCAGCCACACAGGGAGAGGCUGCCCCCAUCCUCUUGGAUUCCUGGUGCUGGUGGGUU